rnacentral:rRNA from 2 species
UACGAAGGGUGCAAGCGUUACUCGGAAUUACUGGGCGUAAAGCGUGCGUAGGUGGUCGUUUAAGUCCGUUGUGAAAGCCCUGGGCUCAACCUGGGAACUGCAGUGGAUACUGGGCGACUAGAGUGUGGUAGAGGGUAGCGGAAUUCCUGGUGUAGCAGUGAAAUGCGUAGAGAUCAGGAGGAACAUCCAUGGCGAAGGCAGCUACCUGGACCAACACUGACACUGAGGCACGAAAGCGUGGGGAG